UCCCCCAUGUUCUCCGACUAACAAAGUUCCUUCAUCUACAUUCUGUCUCUAGUCUCUUCUGGGAAGAUGACUGCCAGCUUGGUGGGUGAUGCUUUCAGGGAGAACCAGGGAAGGCAGGCACAGUGCUACAUGAGUGAGUGAAUGCUUUGCUUAUAUCAUGUCCCAGUCUCCGCAGUCUCCGACCAGCGGAGACAAGAACGACAUGGACACCAAGGAUGAAGGCAAUUGUCCAGAUUCUGAGCAGGAAGCCUGACUGGAUGAAGAGAUGGCAAUGCAGCCAAGGUGUGCUGGAGGCAGGGGUGUGAGUGGUGCUCCAUACUCCUAAAGUUUCCUCAGCAUCUUGGCUCUGAACUUCUCACUCUAAACUCGCCUGCCCUUCCUGAACUGCUGUCCUUGUCUCCUGUGUGACAGAAGGAAGGUGUUGGGUGGGAGCCUUCUCUACUAGCCUGGAAUCAUCUUCUCACAAUGGCCCCAGAAGUUGAAAGUUGAUCUUUUCUUGCCACUUGUGUUUGUUAGCUUGUGGCUUUGCUUCUCGUUGUACUGUAAUAUAAGAAGGCUAUGAGAAAUACACUUUUGGCUGGUGUGGUAAUGGACAGCAGCCCUGCCAUACCUGUCUCUUGCAUAUUUUUUUCUAAUUUUACUAUAAUCAGCUUCACACCCCCACUCAGAGGACUGGUCAACUUUGCACCGGCCAGUUUGGUACACUCUUAGAGUAUGAAUUGUCUGAUGCUCUGGAUAAAGUUGACUAUUGUGUGAGACUUCAGUCUGAUUCAGGUCCCCCCACCUCUAGAGCAGUAAACAUGCAGGUACCCAUGAGGGCCAGAAGAGGGUCUCAGAUCCCUUGGACCUGGAAUUAGAGGUAGUUGUGAGUUGCUGGAUGUGGGUGGUUGGGAACUGAAUUUGGCUCCUCUGGAAGAACAGAAAGCACUCUUAAAUGCUGAGCCAUCUGUCCAGCCCCAUAGACCUAAUUUCUGCUUUGCUUUGUCAUCCUACGUGAACUCCUUGCCCUGUGCUGAAGUUCUUCUGGCUCUCUAGCGUCUUUCCUUCCCUCACAAAUGCUAGAUGUCUCUAUUCCCUGUCUGUACUUCUACCUUCCUUUACCCCCCAGAGUCUUGAAGACUGUAUACUCUGCACCCUGAGCCCUGUUCUGUCACCGAAAUUAGCACCAUCAAAGUCUGCAGCUGUUCCCCAUUCCUCAAUCUCAUAAAACAUGCUGUGACAGUCAUCACAUCUGGGUGCUGCCUCCUGGAAGUGCCUCUUUUAAUUUUCAGGUGACUUCAAUAUUUAUGAAGUACUAGCUCUUCAUGAAAAUACCUUCGAUAUUCUUAUUUUGAAAUCUCUGUGCAGCCACACGAUUACACACCUCCUUCUCCCCCUCCUUUUCUUCCUGCCCCCUCCUUUUCCUCGUUUUUCUGUUUUCGAUGAUAGUCUUGCAGGAAGACACUCAAGGCAGGCAGACCUUGAGCUCACUGAGUAUCCCAGGGUAGCAUUGAGCUGGAGGUCUUCCUGCCUUGGCCUUGUGGGUGCUGGGAUUGUAGACGUGGGCCGCCAUGUUUGCUCUCUGUCAUUGAUUCUAUCUCAAGUUCACACUCACCUCAAACUACAUAGCUGAGUACUUAACAGGCAGCUCAAACAACACAGGUGAAGCAGAACUCAGCACUGCAUGAGGUAGCAUUAGGGUCCAGCCUGAACACAGAGUGUAUCCAAUCACACUACAGACCUCAGGGACGCUGCCUGUGUGUCCAGAAGGAAGUAGGAACGGUGGAUGCUAGGCAACCAGACUCUACCAUGGCUACCUAAAAAGGAGAAUUGCAUGGUGCAAGCUGCUCACAUGAGUGACUUUAUCAGAGUCUAAUGAUAAACAACCAGGGUGGCCAGGAGAGAGACCAGGGAAGUCUGUGAUGGAAUUUAUUAUUAAGAGAUCAUGCCAAGGGAAGAAAAGAAGGUCAGACAUUAAAAUCAGCAGAAGAUAAUUUGCUGAUCCAUGGAACACUUCAAAAUGAGCUCAGGGGACAGGCAGGAGAUCACCUAGUUACAUCUCCAAAGUGUCUAGAUGGAACCCCUCAGCACAGGGCCUUCAGCACGCCUGCAUGAGGUGCUGGGACAGGUUCAAGUAGUGCCCUGGGUGGGCUUUCAUAUAUCAGCACUCCCUUCCCCGCUGGUCCAGUUCCAAGUUUGAAAAAAUUUUUAUGCUUCUAGAUAUCUGGAUACCAUUUUCAAAGAUGACUGUACUGUCGAUUUACCACGAGCCUUCUCUUUACCUUCCCCCUACACUGAUUCUUGCUUCUCUUUUUGACAGAUGUCUGAGAAGACAGAGACAGCUAAGUACAAACACAGCCCGUCUUUGUGUUCCUGUCAUUUGCUCCUCAGUUACUGUGAGGUACAGAGGGUUGCUCCCUCCGGACAAAUUACAGGCCUGAGUAGUUGGAAAACUCUUGUAAUAUCUGUGUAUAUUCCCUUACCUGCCAAACAGAUUAAAACAAACUAUUGAUUUUCUCUCUC